UACGUAGGGGGCAAGCGUUAUCCGGAAUGAUUGGGCGUAAAGCGUCCGCAGGUGGCUGUGUAAGUCUGCUGUUAAAGAGUCUAGCUCAACUAGAUACAAGCAGUGGAAACUACACGGCUAGAGUACGUUCGGGGCAGAGGGAAUUCCUGGUGUAGCGGUGAAAUGCGUAGAGAUCAGGAAGAACACCGGUGGCGAAGGCGCUCUGCUAGGCCGUAACUGACACUGAGGGACGAAAGCUAGGGGAGCGAAUGGG
rnacentral:rRNA from 1 species